rnacentral:rRNA from 1 species
ACUCAAGCGUGAAAAGGGCAUUUGGUGGAUGCCUUGGUGCCAGAAGGCGAUGAAGGACGUGGCACGCUGCGAUAAGCCCCGGGGAGCCGUGAGCAGGCUUUGAUCCGGGGAUUUCCGAUAUGGGGAAACCCGCCGCUUCGGCGGCAUCGUUCAGUGAAUUCAUAGCUGGACGAGGCGAACCCGGCGAACUGAAACAUCUCAGUAGCCGGAGGAAAGGACAUCAACCGAGACUCCGUUAGUAGCGGCGAGCGAACGCGGACUAGACCAGUGGUCGGGGAAGUGAAACCAGAAGCGCCUGGAAAGGCGCGCCAGAGACGGUGAUAGCCCGGUAUGGGUACAGCGCUUCCUUGAUCCUUGAGUAGGGCGGAACACGUGAAAUUCUGUCUGAAGAUGGGGGGACCAUCCUCCAAGUCUAAGUACUCUCUGGCGACCGAUAGCGAACCAGUACCGUGAGGGAAAGGUGAAAAGCACCCCUAACGGGGAGUGAAACAGAACCUGAAACCGGAUGCCUACAAGCAGUCGGAGGAAGGCCGGGAGCUUCGGCUUCCGUGCGCUUCUGACGGCGUACCUUUUGCAUAAUGGGUCAGCGAGUUAUUCUGUGCAGCAAGCUUAAGCCGUUAGGUGAAGGCGCAGCGAAAGCGAGUCUGAAUAGGGCGUCCAGUUGCGCGGAAUAGACCCGAAACCGGGUGAUCUAGCCAUGAGCAGGUUGAAGGUGCGGUAACACGCACUGGAGGACCGAACCCACCGAUGUUGAAAAAUCGGGGGAUGACUUGUGGCUAGGGGUGAAAGGCCAAUCAAACCCGGAGAUAGCUGGUUCUCCGCGAAAACUAUUUAGGUAGUGCGUCGCGUUUCACCGCCGGGGGUAGAGCACUGGAUGGGCUAGGGGGGAGCUAAUCCCUACCAAACCUAACCAAACUCCGAAUACCGGCGAGUGCAAUCGCGGCAGACAGACAUCGGGUGCUAAGGUCCGGUGUCGAAAGGGAAACAGCCCAGACCGCCAGUUAAGGUCCCUAAGUCAUGGCUAAGUGGGAAAGGAUGUGGGACGGCCAAAACAGCCAGGAGGUUGGCUUAGAAGCAGCCAUCCUUUAAAGAAAGCGUAACAGCUCACUGGUCUAAAUAAGCCAUCCUGCGCCGAAGAUGUACCGGGGCUCAAGCCAUGCACCGAAACUGCGGGCGCGACUUAGUCGCGCGGUAGCGGAGCGUUCCGUAGGCCUGUGAAGGGUUGUCGCGAGGCAGCCUGGAGGUAUCGGAAGUGAGAAUGCUGACACGAGUAGCGACAAACAGGGCGAGAAACCCUGUCGCCGAAAGUCCAAGGGUUCCUGCGCAAGGUUAAUCCGCGCAGGGUGAGCCGGCCCCUAAGGCGAGGCCGAAAGGCGUAGUCGAUGGGAACCAGGUUAAUAUUCCUGGGCCUGCCGGAGGUGACGAAUGCUGUAAGUCGUCCGGGCUGAUUGGAUUGCUCCGGGCGGCGAAGGCGUUCCGGGAAAUAACCCCGGCGUACAGACCGUACCCAAACCGACACAGGUGGACUGGUAGAGAAUACCAAGGCGCUUGGGAGAACGAUGAUGAAGGAACUCGGCAAAUUGCCUCCGUAACUUCGGGAGAAGGAGGCCCCACAUCCGGGCAACCGGGCGUGGGGGGCACAGACACAGGGGUGGCGACUGUUUACUAAAAACACAGGGCUCUGCUAACUCGAAAGAGGACGUAUAGGGCCUGACGCCUGCCCGGUGCCGGAAGGUUAAGAGGACGGGUGAGAGCUCCGAAUCGAAGCCCCGGUAAACGGCGGCCGUAACUAUAACGGUCCUAAGGUAGCGAAAUUCAUUGUCGGGUAAGUUCCGACCUGCACGAAUGGCGCAACGACUUCCCCACUGUCUCCAUCAUCGACUCAGCGAAACUGAAUUCUCCGUGAAGAUGCGGAGUACCCGCGGUCAGACGGAAAGACCCCGUGCACCUUUACUACAGCUUUGCAGUGGUAUUAGGGCGGGAGUCUUUGAAGCGUUGGCGCCAGCUGACGUGGAGACAUCCUUGAAAUACCGCCCUUUCGGUUUCUGGUAUCUAACCGUGGCCCGUUAUCCGGGUCCGGGACCCUGCAUGGUGGGUAGUUUGACUGGGGCGGUCGCCUCCCAAAGAGUAACGGAGGCGCGCAAAGAUAGGCUCAGGCUGGUCGGAAAUCAGCUGUGGAGUGCAAUGGCACAAGCCUGUCUGACUGUGAGAGCGACGGCUCGAGCAGAGACGAAAGUCGGCCAUAGUGAUCCGGUGGUCCCGGAUGGAAGGGCCAUCGCUCAACGGAUAAAAGGUACGCCGGGGAUAACAGGCUGAUACUCCCCAAGAGUCCCUAUCGACGGGAGUGUUUGGCACCUCGAUGUCGGCUCAUCACAUCCUGGGGCUGAAGCAGGUCCCAAGGGUUCGGCUGUUCGCCGAUUAAAGUUUAGAACGUCGUGAGACAGUUCGGUCCCUAUCUGCCGUGGGUGAAGGAAACUUGAAAGGAGCUGUCCCUAGUACGAGAGGACCGGGAUGGACACACCUCUGGUGUACCAGUUGUCGCGCCAGCGGCAUCGCUGGGUAGCUAUGUGUGGAAGGGAUAACCGCUGAAGGCAUCUAAGCGGGAAGCCCGCCUUGAAACGAGGUUUCCCUGAGAGCCGUGGCAGACCACCACGUUGAUAGGCCGGAUGUGGAAGCGCAGUAAUGCGUGGAGCUAACCGGUACUAAUCGCUCGAUUGGCUUGAGUUU